rnacentral:rRNA from 1 species
GUUAGGAAUAUUGGACAAUGGGCGAAAGCCUGAUCCAGCCAUGCCGCGUGAACGAUGAAGGCCUUCGGGUUGUAAAGUUCUUUAGCCGAUGAUUAUAAUGACUGUAGUCGGAAAAUAAGCCCCGGCUAACUUCGUGCCAGCAGCCGCGGUAAUACGAAGGGGGCGAGCGUUAUUCGGAAUCACAGGGCGUAAAGCGUGCGUAGGCGGUUUUGUAAGUUAGGAGUGAAAGCCCAGGGCUCAACCUUGGAAUUGCUCUUAAAACUGCAAGGCUCGAAUCUCGGAGAGGAUAGCGGAAUUUCCAGUGUAGCAGUGAAAUGCGUAGAUAUUGGAAGGAACACCAGUGGCGUAAGCGGCUAUCUGGACGAGUAUUGACGCUGAGGCACGAAAGCGUGGGGAUCAAACAGGAUUAGAUACCCCAGUAGUCC